UGGUGGAGUGAUUUGUCUGGUUAAUUCCGAUAACGAACGAGACUCUGUCCUGCUAACUAGGUUGUGUUUUCUCGGGUUGGUGUUUCUGGUGUUCCUUCUCGGGGCGCCGGCCCAAUCCACUUGUGAACAACACUCUUCUUAGAGGGACUGGCGGCUGUUAGCCGCACGAGAUAGAGCAAUAACA
rnacentral:rRNA from 1 species